UCAGUGCUAGGAGUGUGUGGAAUUUGCAGAAAUGAAAAGGAGGAGAACUGUGGGGUCCUUGGGGCUCUUUGAGCUUGGCUGUUUUCUUGCAGACAUUUCAUGACCCAACUAGGUAACAUAAUCAGUGCUAGAAGUGUGUGGAGUUUGCAGAGACGAGAAGAGGAAGACUGUGGGGUCCUUGGUGCUCUCUGAGCUUGGUUGCUUUCUUGCAAACGUUUCAUUACCCAACUAGGUAACAUCCUGAGUGCUAGGUAAUGUGGGAGUUUGUAGCGAUCCAGCCAGCACACAAACAAAUAAUUCUGCAGGAUUCAUUAUAUAGAAGAAACUUCUUUAUAAACAUGAUGCAUGUUUACAAUACCCAUGCAGCUCUUGCAACAUGGUAGAGAGAAGAAGUAAGAAAUACAAGAACAAGCACUAGAACUCUCAAGCAAAGACAAAAUGAACUCUUUUAUACACAGAGCAGUUAAGCUAAGCCAUGCCCAGGUUCUAAACUGCCUUGCAUGGCUCACACAAUAAAUCCUGUGUUUCAGUCACCAAACAGUCCCCAUUGUUGCCAUGCCUAUUUCAGUUCAUGAAUUCUUAUACACUGAUCGGUAACAAAUUAGGUGACAUCAUCGGGAAUAUUAGUUUGUACAGCGGAGGAGAAGAAGGGCAGCGGGGAGAAGAGAAGGAGGACUGGGGACUCUUCUGAGCU